rnacentral:misc_RNA from 1 species
GAUGAAGAACGAAGCAAAAUGCGAUAAGUAAUGUGAAUUGCAGAAUUCAGUGAAUCAUCGAAUCUUUGAACGCACAUUGCGCCCGCCAGUAUUCUGGCGGGCAUGCCUGUUCGAGCGUCAUUUCAACCCUCAAGCACAGCUUGGUGUUGGGACUCGCGUUAAUUCGCGUUCCCCAAAUUGAUUGGCGGUCACGUCGAGCUUCCAUAGCGUAGUAGUAAAACCCUCGUUACUGGUAAUCGUCGCGGCCACGCCGUUAAACCCCAACUUCUGAAUGUUGACCUCGGAUCAGGUAGGAAUACCCGCUGAACUUAAGCAUAUCAAUAAGCGGAGGA